rnacentral:misc_RNA from 1 species
UUUUUUUAUUUUAUUGUUUUGCGCUUUUUUCUAAAUGCUUGAUUAAAAUCAUUUUCGUUCUUCAGUUUAAGAAAUUUAUUGUAUAAUAUUUUGAUUAUAUUAACCAAAUUGAGCAAAUAAAAUUACAGCAAAUGAUGCAUUUUUUAUGUUUCCAUAUAUGAAAGAGCAGAACUUAGAAAUUCAAUAGCAAUAUACACGACAUCAGCUGCAAUACAUUAAGCAGUGUCUACAGUAUGUAGUAUAUAUAGAGACAGUUAAAUGUAUAAUAUGUUUAUAGAGAUCUGUAAUUUCUUUCUUUUAAAAAUCAAAGUAUAAUGUUAAAUGUAUAAUAUGUUUAUAGAGAUCUGUAAUUUCUUUCUUUUAAAAAUCAAAGCUUAUCAGAUUGUGAUCUAAAUCAAAAUUUUCUUUCCAGUUGAACUAACUCCAGAUUUACGAUUAAACUGGUUAGAUGAUAUUCCCUAUUUCCACUUUGGGCGAAAAACCUAUGUUUGCCAUCAAGGAAAAGAUCUGAAUAAACGUCAAAAGGAAAAUUAUGCUAAAGAAAAAAAUGAAAAGUGUCAAACUGAUCAUGCUUUUGGUAAAGCAUAUUCCAAGAACCAGACAACUAAAAAAGUUAAUUGUCCAGCUGUAAUUAAUGUUACCCGAAUGUACAGGAUGCCUCAGUUCAAGAUGCCCUAGAGGAGUUGCAUGGUAUCUAAAAUUUCUGUGAAACACAGUUUGAAAACCUUCAGACUACUCGAAAACUUCAGAUUAUGUGAAAAAAGAAAUGUAGAUGUAAAGAGCAGUGAUUAAAAAGUUUUAAUGACCAAAA